rnacentral:misc_RNA from 1 species
UUGUUUUAAUUCCUUAAAGAAAAUAAUAUUUUGUUUUAGUUUCUGUGAACAUUACUGAAUUUACUCCUUGAAAAAGGACAUUCAAGUUUGGUGAAAGUUGUUCAGAUGCUUGAGUAGACAGAUUCCCUUCUUGCAUAAUUUGAGCAGUGGUCCACAUCUUUGACUUUUUCCUUAAGUUGCAGCUGUUUGUCAUGUUCUUUGGGACUAAAAUUUUGGUUUGUGCUUCUAGGCAUUGAAUACAUCUCUACUUUAUUUGACAAGUUGGUCAUCUUGAAUUUUGUUUUCAAUCUUUGUGGACUUUCAGCAGCGUUUUUCUUAAUUGAGUAGUUCAUGCCUUGUCUGCAUAAAUAUUUAAUUCCAUUUUUUACUAAUAUUAAAUAGUUUUAUUUAAUUUUUUAGGUGCUUUGUGAGG